CUACAAUCUUUAUAUUGCCAAUAAGAAAACUAAGAGGUAGAAAUUAGACAUCUACCCUAGGUCACACAGGUUAUACUUUACGUGUUUGUACAAGGAAAAUUGGACCUUUAAAGCCACAGAGGCAGGGGUCAGACAUCAAACACAUCUCAAGGUCUUUUUCGUUCUUCUGCUUAAGAAAAAGCACAUGCAAAGCAAAUUACAACGCAACAAGCUUGAGAAGCACCUUCAGAGCCGGGAAGAGUUUGCUGCCCUCUCCUGGAUGUUUGAAAACGCAGCAAGAUGUGCGCUCCAGGGCCUGUUCCUCCCGCUUCAGACAAGGCACCAGCAGCCGGCAGUUUGCAAGCCUGGCUGGCCCGGACCAGGCGAGCAGAAUAGAAUAAAGCUGACUUAGUGUUUUUGGCAUUAGGAAAGGACUUUCCUUAGUGUGGUUCACAACCCAUUAGUAGCAGAAUCACCUGGGGUGUAGAAGGGUACUUCAAAACAUGCAUGAGAAGAUGGAACUAAAAGAUAAGCUUAAUUUUCUUCUCCCCCACCCCCCAAAGUGAAGUCCAUGCUUAUGUUUUUCAUAAUAUGCAUUUUCCAUGAAUGUUUGAAGACCUUCAUGUAUUAUAAAAAAUAAAGAAUUCCUGAUCCCCAACCAGAUCCAGUGACUCGGAGCCUCUAAGGUGGAGCCAGGGGAAUCUAAACUUCUGCCUGGGAACAAAAGUUGUAAAACUGCAUUAGAACACAUUGGCGAGGCCAGCGGGGGCUGGUGCUGUAGCGCAGCGGGUUAACACCCUGGCCUGAAGCGCCAGCAUCCCAUAUGGGCACCAGUUCAAGACCCGGCUGCUUCACUGUCCAAUCCAGCUCCCUCCUAUGGCCUGGGAAAGCAGUAGAAGAUGGCCCAGGUCCUUGGGCCCCUGCACCCUCAUGGGAGACUAAGAAGCUCCUGGCUCCUGGCUUUGGAUCGGUGCAGCUCUGGCCAUUGCAGCCACUUGGGGAGUGAACCAUUGGAUGGAAGACCUCUCUCUCUCUUUACCUCUCCUCUCUCUAUGUAACUCUGACUUGCAAAUAAAUAAAUAAACUUAAAAAAAAAAAAA